AUUGAACGCUGGCGGCAGGCCUAACACAUGCAAGUCGAGCGGAGCGGCGGACGGGGGAGUAAGGCCUAGGAAUGUGCCUGGUAGUGGGGGAUAACGUCAGGAAACGGGCGCUAAUACCGCAUACUAUCAGAUGAGCCUAUGUCGGAUUAGCUAGUUGGUGGGGUAAAGGCCUACCAAGGCGACGAUCCGUAACUGGUCUGAGAGGAUGAGCAGUAACCGUGGAACUGAGACAGGGUCCAGACUCCGACGGGAGGCAGCAGUGGGGAAUAUUGGACAAUGGGCGAAAGCCUGAGCCAGCCAUGCCGCGUGUGUGAAGAAGGUCUUCGGAUUGUAAAGCACUGUAAGUUGGGAGGCGUUACCAACAGAAUAAGCACCGGCUAACUUCGUGCCAGCAGCCGCGGUAAUAC
rnacentral:rRNA from 1 species